GGCUGGUUAGCUCAGUUGGUUAGAGCGUGGUGCUAGUAAUGCCAAGGUCACGCGUUCGAUCCCCGUACUAGCCA